GGAUGUGAGGGUCAAUUGGCUGCAACAUCUGUCACCCCACUGAUUGCCAGGGUUGAUUUGGCUCUCUCGGUGGGUGUCCCCUUCCUCCCUCACAGCUCCAUGUGAGUCCCUCCUGAAGCCACACAUUCAGUGGAAGAGGACAACCUUCCUUGAUAGAGGAAGAAAUGUUCUUAAGUUAAGGGUAUGGGAGUAGGUGCUGGAACCCCCCCCCCAAACAAACCAACAGAAACAUGUGAAGCCUCCAAAUGCCUCAUGCCUGCUUUUCUCUAUUU
rnacentral:snRNA from 1 species